AUGUGCAAAGUACGCCCUUUUCUCGCCAACGACACGCAGUGAAAUUCAACCCGGCUUUUGUACCGUGCCGAUCCGCCUAUGAAACAAUAAUAACUUCCGUUCCCGGGUCUGAGCACAUUCGGUCCAGACACCGAGAAAGAGCGGCCAAAAGUGCGGCAAACGCUGGCGUAGAACGUUUGUAACAUUCAGACGCAGAUAGGAGACGUUGGCGGCUGGGAUAAUAUCAUUUGGUCUGAGGUAAAAGGUGAGUACGUAACAAUUUGAUUGGUCCGCGGAUGAACACGAACAAACACUUGAUCGGUAACUUCGCACGCGGAUAAUGUGUGUUACGCGGAAAAAAAUCGUUCGUCAUUGUCCGUCGAACAAAACUAAUCGUUUGAAACAGCGAAAACGCGCACCGAACACCG